rnacentral:rRNA from 1 species
UACGUAGGGUGCGAGCGUUGUCCGGAAUUAUUGGGCGUAAAGAGCUUGUAGGCGGUUUGUCGCGUCUGCUGUGAAAUUUCGGGGCUUAACCCCGAACUUGCAGUGGGUACGGGCAGACUAGAGUGUGGUAGGGGAGACUGGAAUUCCUGGUGUAGCGGUGAAAUGCGCAGAUAUCAGGAGGAACACCGAUGGCGAAGGCAGGUCUCUGGGCCGUAACUGACGCUGAGACGCGAAAGCGUGGGGAGCAAACAGG